GGAACAAAGUGACUUUCCAAAGGUCAUGCCAUUCAAAGGAGGGUGAAUCUUAGGUUGGACGCAGGCUGUCUGACUCUGGAGUCUGAGGUGUUAAUGCUGCCUCCUCCAUGGGAACAGCCCAAGUGAAAAACAGCUGAUCCACUCUUCAUUUACUUGGCAUCUGUGCUAAGCUGGUCCCUGAGCCAAGCUCUGAGCAACAGAAACAGAAGCUCUGCAUUAGGAGCUUGUGAGCAUGUCAGUGCCGGGUAAAGGAGUGCUGGAAACCGCUGGGAUGGCCGCCGAGCACUAGGCCGUUGAAGGUGGGCUCUGUGUGACUGGUUCCUCUACACUCUGGCCUGGCUGCCUGCAGGAAGAAGAUCAAGUUGAGUGGGCUGGCCCUGGACCACAAGGUGACAGGUGACCUCUUCUACACCCAUGUGACCACCAUGGGCCAGAGGCUCAGCCAGAAGGCCCCCAGCCUGGAGGACGGUUCGGAUGCCUUCAUGUCACCCCAGGAUGUUCGGGGCACCUCAGAAAACCUUCCUGAGAGGCCUGUCCCCUUACGCAAGAGCCUCUGCUCCCCCACUUUCCUGUGGAGCCUCCUCACCAUGGGCAUGACCCAGCUGCGGAUCAUCUUCUACAUGGCUGCCGUGAACAAGAUGCUGGAGUACCUUGUGACUGGUGGCCAGGAGCAUGAGACGAAUGAACAGCAACAAAAGGUGGCAGAGACAGUUGGGUUCUACUCCUCCGUCUUCGGGGCCAUGCAGCUGUUGUGCCUUCUCACCUGCCCCCUCAUUGGCUACAUCAUGGACUGGCGGAUCAAGGACUGCGUGGACGCCCCA
rnacentral:sRNA from 1 species